rnacentral:rRNA from 1 species
GACGAACGCUGGCGGCGUGCUUAACACAUGCAAGUCGAACGGAAAGGCCCUGCUUUUGUGGGGUGCUCGAGUGGCGAACGGGUGAGUAACACGUGAGUAACCUGCCCUUGACUUUGGGAUAACUUCAGGAAACUGGGGCUAAUACCGGAUAGGAGCUCCUGCUGCAUGGUGGGGGUUGGAAAGUUUCGGCGGUUGGGGAUGGACUCGCGGCUUAUCAGCUUGUUGGUGGGGUAGUGGCUUACCAAGGCUUUGACGGGUAGCCGGCCUGAGAGGGUGACCGGCCACAUUGGGACUGAGAUACGGCCCAGACUCCUACGGGAGGCAGCAGUGGGGAAUAUUGCACAAUGGGCGGAAGCCUGAUGCAGCAACGCCGCGUGCGGGAUGACGGCCUUCGGGUUGUAAACCGCUUUCGCCUGUAACGAAGCGCGAGUGACGGUAAUGGGUAAAGAAGCACCGGCUAACUACGUG